GGCACGCGUUUCUGAGCUUGUCUAGACCACGGCAUUGUCAUUCGAUUCUUGAGUCAUGCGAGACCGUAACCGCUUCGUCUCGCACCGCCGUACGCAGAACUAUCUACAAACGGCAUGGGACACAAGGGUUGCCGACGAGAGACGCCAACCUUUACUGCAGGUGUUUCAAGAUAACGUCCGGGGAUAUAUCGUUUUAUACGUCGAGACAGACGACAAGCUCUGCUAUUCUAUCGGUGGCGAGACAGCUGACGCGAACCCGUCUCUUAUCUCGGAAUCGCACCGUAUGGAAAAAAAUAUCUACCGGGUUGGGUACUUCACGACACGUUCCGGGAGACGUCGGGAGAAUCUUAGGGUUCAUCUUUGAGGAGAUCUGCGGUGUUCAAAACAGCAGGCUGACGACUAGGUAUUCCCCAGGCAUUUGAUAAGGAACUCUGACAGCAGAAGUCGUGACUGUAGAAUCAGUGAACAGUUCUGAAGCACGGUUGGACCUGUGCUGGGGGAAGAAGGAGUGCUGUGUGUGACAGGAGGGUGACACGACAGGCAGCAAAGCCUAAUUCACCUAGGAAUCCUGCAAGGUAUCCCCACAAGCAAAAUUCAUGUCUGGACGCACUAAGAGAGGAGCCGGAUAAGGGAGGUGCCAGGUACCAGCGUCACUGAAGGUGUUUCUCGACAUCAGUGCGUCACGCAAGCCAAGAAGGCACCAAGCCCAACACGAACUCUGACAGCAGAAGUCGUGAAUGCAGAAUCAGUAAACAGUUUUGAAGCACGGUU